rnacentral:rRNA from 1 species
UACGGAGGGUGCAAGCGUUAUCCGGAUUUACUGGGUUUAAAGGGCGCGUAGUUGGGCAGGCAAGUCAGUGGUGAAAUCUCCGGGCUUAACCCGGAAACUGCCAUUGAUACUAUUUGUCUUGAAUACUUUGGAGGUAAGCGGAAUAUGUCAUGUAGCGGUGAAAUGCUUAGAUAUGACAUAGAACACCAAUGGCGCAGGCAGCUUACUGGACAGUAAUUGACACUGAGGCACGAAAGCGUGGGGAGCAAACAGG